rnacentral:precursor_RNA from 13 species
AGGAUCCUGGCUGACUUACGGCAUGGUGUGAGCAGGUCACGUGUGGUGCAGCGUGAUAGUGGAAUAUGCUGCAUCGCGUGUGACCUCCCUACACCGCACUUCGUCUCUCCUACUGGAGAUU